AAAAGGUGGCUAUGCUACCGCUUUUGGAUGGGCCCGCGGCGCAUUAGCUAGUUGGUGGGGUAGAGGCUUACCAAGGCAAUGAUGCGUAGCCGAACUGAGAGGUUGAUCGGCCACAUUGGGACUGAGACACGGCCCAAACUCCUACGGGAGGCAGCAGUAGGGAAUCUUCCACAAUGGGCGAAAGCCUGAUGGAGCAACGCCGCGUGGGUGAAGAAGGUCUUCGGAUCGUAAAACCCUGUUGUUAGAGAAGAAAGUGCGUGAGAGUAACUGUUCACGUUUCGACGGUAUCUAACCAGAAAGCCACGGCUAACUACGUGCCAGCAGCCGCGGUAAUACGUAGGUGGCAAGCGUUAUCCGGAUUUAUUGGGCGUAAAGGGAACGCAGGCGGUCUUUUAAGUCUGAUGUGAAAGCCUUCGGCUUAACCGGAGUAGUGCAUUGGAAACUGGGAGACUUGAGUGCAGAAGAGGAGAGUGGAACUCCAUGUGUAGCGGUGAAAUGCGUAGAUAUAUGGAAGAACACCAGUGGCGAAAGCGGCUCUCUGGUCUGUAACUGACGCUGAGGUUCGAAAGCGUGGGUAGCAAACAGGAUUAGAUACCCUGGUAGUCCACGCCGUAAACGAUGAAUGCUAAGUGUUGGAGGGUUUCCGCCCUUCA
rnacentral:rRNA from 1 species